CCCCUACGGGAGGGCAGCAGUGGGGAAUUUUGGACAAUGGGCGCAAGCCUGAUCCAGCCAUGCCGCGUGUCUGAAGAAGGCCUUCGGGUUGUAAAGGACUUUCGGUAGCGAGGAAGGCAUUUAGUUUAAUAGACUAGGUGAUUGACGUUAACUACAGAAGAAGCACCGGCUAACUCCGUGCCAGCAGCCGCGGUAAUGGGG
rnacentral:rRNA from 1 species